UGAUGAAUGUUGCAAUAAAAACGAACUCUGACUCCGUUAGUCCUGGUUCGAAUCCAGGUUCCCCAGCCA
rnacentral:tRNA from 1 species